rnacentral:rRNA from 1 species
UGAAUACGAGACGCUAAGGCGUCGAAGUAGUGUAUGUCAUACUUCCAAGAAAAGCUUGCACUGUCAUAGAUAAAAAACGCCUGUACCAUAACCGACACAGGUGGGUAGGUAGAGUAUACUAAGGGGCGCGAGAUAACUCUCUCUAAGGAACUCGGCAAAAUAACUCCGUAACUUCGGGAGAAGGAGUGCCUUAUUCGUAAGGUUGCAAUAACAAGAUCCAAGCAACUGUUUAUCAAAAACACAGGUCUCCGCUAAGUCGUAAGACGAUGUAUGGGGGCUGACGCCUGCCCAGUGCCAGAAGGUUAAAGAAGUUGGUUAGCAAUUGCGAAGCUGAUAACUGAAGCCCUGGUGAACGGCGGCCGUAACGAUAACGGUCCUAAGGUAGCGAAAUUCCUUGUCGGGUAAGUUCCGACCCGCACGAAAGGCGUAAUGAUUUGGAUACUGUCUCGGAGAGGGGCUCGGUGAAAUAGACUUGUCUGUGAAGAUGCGGACUACCUGCACCAGGACAGAAAGACCCUAUGAAGCUUUACUGUAACUUGAAAUUGAAAUUGGACUUUAUUCGCGCAGUAUAGGUGGGAGGCGUUGAUUAUAAUCUUGUGGGAUUAUUGGAGCCAUCAGUGAGAUACCACUCUUGUAAUGUUAGAUUUCUAACUUUGAAUCAUUAUCUGGUCAAAGAACAGUUUCAGGCGGGCAGUUUGACUGGGGCGGUCGCCUCCUAAACGGUAACGGAGGCGUACAAAGGUUUCCUCUGAACGGUUAGAAAUCGUAUCUAGAGUGUAAAGGCAUAAGGAAGCUUGACUGUGAGACCUACAAGUCGAGCAGGGACGAAAGUCGGUCUUAGUGAUCUGACGGUACUGAGUGGAAAGGCCGUCACUCAACGGAUAAAAGUUACUCUAAGGAUAACAGGCUGAUCUCCCCCAAGAGUUCACAUCGACGGGGAGGUUUGGCACCUCGAUGUCGGCUCAUCGCAUCCUGGGGCGGUAGUACGUCCCAAGGGUUGGGCUGUUCGCCCAUGAAAGCGGUACGCGAGCUGGGUUCAGAACGUCGUGAGACAGUUCGGUCCAUAUCCGGUGUAGGCGUUAGAAUAUUGAGAGGAGCCUUCUUUAGUACGAGAGGACCGAAAAGGACAUACCUCUGGUGUACCAGUUAUCGUGCCAACGGUAAACGCUGGGUAGCUAUGUAUGGAGUGGAUAACCGCUGAAAGCAUCUAAGUGGGAAGCCCACCUCAAGAUAAGUAUUCUCAUCA